AUUUCACUUUGAAAUGGAGAGGGUCCAGUUCACGGUGGAGAUUUUUUUAAAAACGAUCCACGUUCAUAAACGCGCCACGUCAUAACUUAACCCACUAAACCCAAACCACACUUAACUACGCUUAAACUAGAGACUCUUUUAACUUAACCUGAUCCUUCAGCUACCCAAAAAAGCAAAUAACCCCCUCUUCCUUCAGAUCUUUCUCUACCCAAAAUUCAAAAACUCUCUCACACCAUUGCUCAAUCUCCAUGGCUACAGCUAGCAGCCACUGCGUCCCACACCUUCACUACUGGCGGAGUUCCGAUACAUUCCUGUCUCUCUCCUUCGGCCGCUGGAGGUGUUAUCGUCGGUGCCACCACCACUGGUGGCCGUCGGGUCCUCCUCUCUUUCUCUUUAUUGUCUUUUAUCUUUUAUUUUUCUUUUUGUUUCUCUUUUUAUUUGCCUUUUAGAAUUGACUGAAUCCCUUAGAGUUUUGUUUAGUGAUUGGGUUUCCUUUUGAGUAUAAAGCUUGAUGAUGUGCUUUGGGUUUGAAAAAUUGGGGCUUUUGGGUAUUGCCGAAUGUGUUUUGAUUAAGUAUCUUCCUGUAAUUGUUGUGUGGUGUUGUCUUUGACAUCAGUCCAAAAAUUAUGUUGCUUGGUCAUGAACUCAUGAUGUAUGCUAAAAAACAUUAUGAAAUUUCUCCCUUUUUUUUCCUAAUUUUUUUAGGUAUCUGUUCUUUUUCUAAAUUUGGAUUGACUAUGCAGAUGGGUAUUUUGCUGGUGGAUGAUAUAUUUUGUUUCUUGUAGUUCAUUUUAAAGAUAUAAACUAUGGCUCUUGAUAGGUAAUGAGGUACAGUGUUUGUGAGCUUAGAAUUCUUGAUUUGUUAUGCACAACUGGUUUUCUAAGCUAUAUUGCACUCUUAUUUGCUUAUCAGAAAGUUUUUUUUCCCUCCUUUCUUGAUUUCUUUUAGCCUGAAGGUUUUAUUAUGUCUUUUCCAACUAGUGGUAUAUGUUGAUUUAGUGCUGACAUCUAGAGAUUUCUAUUUAUGUAGGUGUUAGAAGUUGACAGUAAGAUUGUAAAAGCUCUGUACAGGAGAGCACAAGCAUACAUACAACUUGUUGAUUUGGAUCUGGCAGAACAGGAUAUCAAAAAGGCUCUUGAGAUAGACCCAGACAACAGGAUGUUGGUUGUGUUGUCGGGGAUGUGAAGCUGGAGUCCAAGAUUUUGAAGGAGAAAGUGAGAGAGUAUGACAUGAAGGAUGCCCAGUUUUAUGGCAGCAUCUUUGCAAAGAUGAACAAAUUAGAGCAAGCAAGAUCAGCAAAUACACCGCAAAAGCAGGAGCCAGUGCCAAUGAUAAUUGACAGCAAGGUGUGAUACCAACCUGGCCUCCUCUCUCUUCUGUAGUCUAAACAGCUACAGUUUAAGAAUUGAGGUUGUGGUUUUUUUUUUUUUUUUUUUUUUUUGGAGAAACAAUUGAGGUUGUGUUAGAUUCAGUGAACAGUUAUGGAAUGUAGAUUAGUGGAGUGGUACCAAAUUAACCAGUGAGAUGUAUUAUCCUUCAAAUAAAAGUGGUCAUUGUAUGCUUCCCAUGGUCUACUUGCAUUAUCAGUUUGUCACUGUCCUCACUACAAUAUAAGAAUUGAGGUUGUGUUGGAUGUGUUGAAGCCUGGUUUACCCUUUGCCUGAACAUUGUUCUUGUUAGAAAGCACCUGAUGUCCCUUGUUUGUUUCU